GAGAAACGGUGAAGGAAAUAACGUUAGGUGACGUUGACCAAAGAGGCCAAUGAAGCAUGAGUGGACUUCAGGACCCCUCCCAAUCAAUUAACGGAGGAAGCAAGAUUAGAACUCAUGUCCCAGGUGUGAGUCCUAGGAUUUUGCAGCCAAGUUUCAGUGAGAACAGAGACAUUUAAUGAUAACAUUAGACAUUUAAUGAUAACAUUAGAAGCUGCGACUGCAAUGACACGUUUUGAGGGUGUCCACCACCUCCGCUAGCUUCAGAACCCGUUGGAUUCUAGACUGCUGUCCUUUACUCCAAUGCAUACUGAUUUGCCAGGAAUGGAAGAUGCAAGAUUCGCUGCCAUUCUGUCCACCCUCAGACACUGAGGGCGCACCCGAGCCGAACACUGUUCAACAUGGAAAACAUACAAGCAGUGAGGCUCACAUGCCUGGGGGCCAUAGUGCAGUGUGAGGUAUAUGCUCACACAGAGGAGCAAACUGGGGAAAGCACGCAGCAACUGUGGCUUGGGAGAUGGAGAGUCUCCCAGAGGAGAUAACAUUUCAGCCAGCUUGGAGGAGACAGGCCAGGAGUUUCCCCGAAGGAGUUUGCCAGACACAGAAAAGAGCAAAAGGCAUCCAGGCGGACUCAUCACAUACAAAAGCAUGUUUAUGGAAAAGCGCAUGGCACAUUUGGAAUCAGUAGUAAUCCAUCAUGGUGGGAGCCAAAGUGAGUUGAGAGUGGAAGGGAGAGGAGGCUUAAGAAAGUAACUUGAGACAGUGGCUCAGUUUUAGUUCCAUGUAUAUGAUCUUAGCAUCUAGGAGAAGUCUCAAAGUGAAAAUGGUACCCAUGGUAGGAGUCGGCUCUUCUUAUUUUCCUCCUUUGUCUUGGGAAUCUCUUAAUUCCCAGUCCGCUCCUUUGCUACCCCAAACCAUAUUUCCUUGGUUUGGCAUGCUCCAGGUAGAUGCAUGGCAUGCAGACGCAUGGCCCAGACAGGUACACAUCUCAGCUAGGUGCACGCUCCAGGCAGAUGCAUGAUUUUCCUCCUUCCUGCUUAUGUGGUGUAAGUUCUCGUCCUCCUGAUGAGAGCUGGCUCCUCAGAUAUAGCCUAGACACCCACUUCUCUGAGUUUCAGUCCCCUUGCCUGCCAAAACCUCAAAUGGAGUUUUAGGCCUGAUGACGACCUUCCUCCUGGGGGACUUGCAAGGCUCUGUGGGAAAUAUGCAAAGUGAGACCCAUUCUAAGGGGGCAAUAUGAAUAUGGCCCGCUCCUCAGGGGGCUGGGAUGGAGAUUCAGCAGCAAGUUUCUGAAGCGGAGACUGUUAAUUUCUGAACCAGGAAAAUAUAUUUGACUCUCGGACCCAGAAAAUUCUCUUCCAAAUUGAAAAAAAACCCCACAAUUGUUCUUUUAAAAUGGGGUAACAUUUCUGGAAUACAUCGUUCCCAAAAUAAGAUGCUCCAAUUUGGAAAAAUCUAGCUGAAAUAAAUGAAAAUAACAGAUGGAAGAGAAAUAACAGAAGCUAUCCAAAGAAC
rnacentral:lncRNA from 1 species